rnacentral:lncRNA from 1 species
UGGCAAUUAAAACACCUUUAAAAAUGGAAGCAGGAGAGAAGCUGAAAACCGAACGGGCCCCUUCUUGGACUUCUAUGCUUUAUAGUUUAAUUUGUUGAGAAUUUAAAAUUAUAGUAAUUGCCCUUAAAUAACUGACAUUAUUUGACACUACAACAACAGAAGAGCGAAGAUGACUGACAAACACACAAAAGACUUUUGUUAUCUUUGUUUGUCUGCCUGAAUAAAUCUCAACAAGUAUUUCAAAGAUGUAAAUUUAUAGCCUCCUUAAUCGCCAUUAGACGGCCAGUCCUCGUGGCAAUCGGCUGAGUCUCACUGACACUCAACAUGUUUGGUAUCAACGUCUUCAGCACAUCGUGUUUGUCUCAACACCUACCUUCAAGCUAAACCAUUACCUAAUAAAAGGCAGUCUCCUGAUUAGCAUGGCUUGAGAAGAUCUUCUUUAGAGAAAAUAAACACUGGAAACAAACAGAGCUGCUGGGUGAUCCCUUAGCUGGCAACACAGGUCACCUGCUGUCCUUUCAGUAACUUCCUGAAGUCAAUGAGAGCACACCCUGCUCUGAUUGGUCUGAAGGAUUUCGCCUGGAGCUUUCUGUUCCACACUAUCUGUUUGUACUUCUUGGUUAAUUAACCAUCAUCCCAGUUCUCCUCCUCUGGGCAAAGGAGGGAAUUUUCGUCUCUCCGUGCAGGUGAAAUGUUCCCACAGCCUCAGAUCUGACAUGCAAGAGAGAAGUGGUGGACUAGACUGGUUGCUUCAUCCAAACUACAGUGACUUCCAUCUGGAGGAUGGUGAGGAGAAGAGAAAGAAAGGAGCAUGUCUUUCUGUGUCAUUUAACGCUAGGAAACUGAAGCUAAAGGCACCAUGACAAGGAUGGAGACACAUCUCUGAGUUCUUCUACUUCACAGUCCCUUGUUUUACUGCACAGCUGUUGCUUUGUGUGAUCUAGAAGAGUGACAAAUGCUCAGGUGCCAGGUACAACUGAGAACAUAACUCCGAGGGAGCCAUAUACUCCAUUCAGAUCAACAUAAGAACAACACAAGUCAUGCUGGCCAGUUCUAGUAAGUGAAGCCCUCUUUAGGUCCC